UCUUGGUCAUUUAGAGGAAGUAAAAGUCGUAACAAGGUCUCCGUUGGUGAACCAGCGGAGGGAUCAUUACUGAGUUUACGCUCUACAACCCUUUGUGAACAUACCUAUAACUGUUGCUUCGGCGGGCAGGGUCUCCGUGACCCUCCCGGCCUCCCGCCCCCGGGCGGGUCGGCGCCCGCCGGAGGAUAACCAAACUCUGAUUUAACGACGUUUCUUCUGAGUGGUACAAGCAAAUAAUCAAAACUUUUAACAACGGAUCUCUUGGUUCUGGCAUCGAUGAAGAACGCAGCGAAAUGCGAUAAGUAAUGUGAAUUGCAGAAUUCAGUGAAUCAUCGAAUCUUUGAACGCACAUUGCGCCCGCCAGCAUUCUGGCGGGCAUGCCUGUUCGAGCGUCAUUUCAACCCUCAAGCUCUGCUUGGUGUUGGGGCCCUACAGCUGAUGUAGGCCCUCAAAGGUAGUGGCGGACCCUCCCGGAGCCUCCUUUGCGUAGUAACUUUACGUCUCGCACUGGGAUCCGGAGGGACUCUUGCCGUAAAACCCCCAAUUUUCCAAAGGUUGACCUCGGAUCAGGUAGGAAUACCCGCUGAACUUAAGCAUAUCAAUAAGCGGAGGAA
rnacentral:rRNA from 1 species